UUGAAACUCCCCCAAAAAUGAAGUUACAGAUCAGCCCACAGAACAGGUAUAGCAUGGGCAGCUGCAGCCCAAGCUUUCCUACACUGCUCCACCAGUCUUCUGUCACCCUGACCUGGACAUAUCUUUAGGAUUCAGAGGGUAGUUGAGUCUCUGUUCUUAUUUAGUGCAUAGCCUUU
rnacentral:sRNA from 1 species